AGCGAACGCUGGCGGCAGGCUUAACACAUGCAAGUCGAACGGUCCUUCGGGAUAGGGGCGGACGGGUGAGUAACACGUGGGAACGUACCCUUAGGUUCGGAACAACACAGGGAGACUUGUGCUAAUACCGGAUAAGCCCUUCGGGGGAAAGAUUUAUCGCCUUUGGAGCGGCCCGCGUCUGAUUAGCUUGUUGGUGAGGUAAUGGCUCACCAAGGCUACGAUCAGUAGCUGGUCUGAGAGGAUGGCCAGCCACACUGGGACUGAGACACGGCCCAGACUCCUACGGGAGGCAGCAGUGGGGAAUCUUGCGCAAUGGGCGAAAGCCUGACGCAGCCAUGCCGCGUGGAUGAUGAAGGUCUUAGGAUUGUGAAAUCCUUUCACCGGGGACGAUAAUGACGGUACCCGGAGAAGAAGCCCCGGCUAACUUCGUGCCAGCCGCCGCCGUAA
rnacentral:rRNA from 1 species